GUGAGGGCUGGGCGAAAGGAGGGAGGGAAGAGAAUGGGGGAACGCUUUCCCCAAGAGCGAAAGCAAACAGCUAGCUGUGGAGGCGCUGCCCGCAGUUCAGGCUUCCCAACAGGCUAGCUAGACUGGGAUCCACCCGGUAUUUCGCAGGAAGGGGGGGGUGGGGGGAAGAGACAGAGUGAGAGGAGGAGAGAGCCUUACUGGAGGACAGAGGGAGGGAGGGAAAGAG
rnacentral:lncRNA from 1 species